AUGCCCAGUUGAACUCUUAUUUCAGAUAAACGAUGAAUCAGUUUCAGUGUAAGUAUACUAUAUGAAAUAUUUGGGACAUACCUAUACUAAAAACCAUUCAUCGCUUACCUGAAAUUCAAAUUUAACUGGA
rnacentral:miRNA from 1 species